GGAGAGGUGGCAGAGCGGCCGAAUGCGCCGCCUUGCUAAGGCGGUGGACCGGCAACGGUCCCUCGGGUUCGAAUCCCGACCUCUCCG
rnacentral:tRNA from 1 species